rnacentral:rRNA from 1 species
GACCUGGGUGGCAAACGUUCUCCGGAAUUAUUGGGCGUAAAGAGCUCGUAGGUGGUUUGUCGCGUUGUUCGUGAAAACUCACGGCUUAACUGUGAGCGUGCGGGCGAUACGGGCAGACUGGAGUACUGCAGGGGAGACUGGAAUUCCUGGUGUAGCGGUGGAAUGCGCAGAUAUCAGGAGGAACACCGGUGGCGAAAGCGGCUCACUGGACCAUAACUGACGCUGAUGCACGAAAGCUAGGGGAGCAAACAGG